UACGGGGGGAGCAAGCGUUGUUCGGAUUUACUGGGCGUAAAGGGCGCGUAGGCGGCCAGUGCAAGUCAGUUGUGAAAUCUCCGAGCUUAACUCGGAAAGGUCAACUGAUACUGCUCGGCUAGAGUGCGGAAGGGGCAACUGGAAUUCUUGGUGUAGCGGUGAAAUGCGUAGAUAUCAAGAGGAACACCUGCGGCGAAGGCGAGUUGCUGGGCCGACACUGACGCUGAAGUGCGAAAGCUAGGGGAGCGAACGGG
rnacentral:rRNA from 1 species